GAUGAACGCUGGCGGCGUGCCUAAUACAUGCAAGUCGAGCGAACGGACGAGAAGCUUGCUUCUCUGAUGUUAGCGGCGGACGGGUGAGUAACACGUGGAUAACCUACCUAUAAGACUGGCAUAACUUCGGGAAACCGGAGCUAAUACCGGAUAAUAUUUUGAACCGCAUGGUUCAAAAGUGAAAGACGGUCUUGCUGUCACUUAUAGAUGGAUCCGCGCUGCAUUAGCUAGUUGGUAAGGUAACGGCUUACCAAGGCAACGAUGCAUAGCCGACCUGAGAGGGUGAUCGGCCACACUGGAACUGAGACACGGUCCCGACUCCUACGGGAGGCAGCAGUAGGGAAUCUUCCGCAAUGGGCGAAAGCCUGACGGAGCAACGCCGCGUGAGUGAUGAAGGUCUUCGGAUCGUAAAACUCUGUUAUUAGGGAAGAACAUAUGUGUAAGUAACUGUGCACAUCUUGACGGUACCUAAUCAGAAAGCCACGGCUAACUACGUG
rnacentral:rRNA from 1 species